GAUGAACGCUGGCGGCGUGCCUAAUACAUGCAAGUCGAGCGAACGGACGAGAAGCUUGCUUCUCUGAUGUUAGCGGCGGACGGGUGAGUAACACGUGGAUAACCUACCUAUAAGACUGGGAUAACUUCGGGAAACCGGAGCUAAUACCGGAUAAUAUUUUGAACCGCAUGGUUCAAAAGUGAAAGACGGUCUUGCUGUCACUUAUAGAUGGAUCCGCGCUGCAUUAGCUAGUUGGUAAGGUAACGGCUUACCAAGGCAACGAUGCAUAGCCGACCUGAGAGGGUGAUCGGCCACACUGGAACUGAGACACGGUCCAGACUCCUACGGGAGGCAGCAGUAGGGAAUCUUCCGCAAUGGGCGAAAGCCUGACGGAGCAACGCCGCGUGAGUGAUGAAGGUCUUCGGAUCGUAAAACUCUGUUAUUAGGGAAGAACAUAUGUGUAAGUAACUGUGCACAUCUUGACGGUACCUAAUCAGAAAGCCACGGCUAACUACGUGCCAGCAGCCGCGGUAAUACGUAGGUGGCAAGCGUUAUCCGGAAUUAUUGGGCGUAAAGCGCGCGUAGGCGGUUUUUUAAGUCUGAUGUGAAAGCCCACGGCUGCUCAACCGUGGAGGGUCAUUGGAAACUGGAAAACUUGAGUGCAGAAGAGGAAAGUGGAAUUCCAUGUGUAGCGGUGAAAUGCGCAGAGAUAUGGAGGAACACCAGUGGCGAAGGCGACUUUCUGGUCUGUAACUGACGCUGAUGUGCGAAAGCGUGGGGAUCAAACAGGAUUAGAUACCCUGGUAGUCCACGCCGUAAACGAUGAGUGCUAAGUGUUAGGGGGUUUCCGCCCCUUAGUGCUGCAGCUAACGCAUUAAGCACUCCGCCUGGGGAGUACGACCGCAAGGUUGAAACUCAAAGGAAUUGACGGGGACCCGCACAAGCGGUGGAGCAUGUGGUUUAAUUCGAAGCAACGCGAAGAACCUUACCAAAUCUUGACAUCCUUUGACAACUCUAGAGAUAGAGCCUUCCCCUUCGGGGGACAAAGUGACAGGUGGUGCAUGGUUGUCGUCAGCUCGUGUCGUGAGAUGUUGGGUUAAGUCCCGCAACGAGCGCAACCCUUAAGCUUAGUUGCCAUCAUUAAGUUGGGCACUCUAAGUUGACUGCCGGUGACAAACCGGAGGAAGGUGGGGAUGACGUCAAAUCAUCAUGCCCCUUAUGAUUUGGGCUACACACGUGCUACAAUGGACAAUACAAAGGGCAGCGAAACCGCGAGGUCAAGCAAAUCCCAUAAAGUUGUUCUCAGUUCGGAUUGUAGUCUGCAACUCGACUACAUGAAGCUGGAAUCGCUAGUAAUCGUAGAUCAGCAUGCUACGGUGAAUACGUUCCCGGGUCU
rnacentral:rRNA from 1 species